UGAUUAGAGGGGGAUUCACCCACCUGGUGUCCCAGGUCUAAAUCAGUCCCUGAUUAGAGGGGGAUUCACCCACCUGGUGUCCCAGGUCUAAAUCAGUCCCUGAUUAGAGGGGGAUUCACCCACCUGGUGUCCCAGGUCUAAAUCAGUCCCUGAUUAGAGGGGAAUCACCCACCUGGUGUCCCAGGUCUAAAUCAGUCCCUGAUUAGAGGGGGAUUCACCCACCUGGUGUCCCAGGUCUAAAUCAGUCCCUGAUUAGAGGGGGAUUCACCCACCUGGUGUCCCAGGUCUAAAUCAGUCCCUGAUUAGAGGGGAAUCACCCACCUGGUGUCCCAGGUCUAAAUCAGUCCCUGAUUAGAGGGGGAUUCACCCACCUGGUGUCCCAGGUCUAAAUCAGUCCCUGAUUAGAGGGGAAUCACCCACCUGGUGUCCCAGGUCUAAAUCAGUCCCUGAUUAGAGGGGAAUCACCCACCUGGUGUCCCAGGUCUAAAUCAGUCCCUGAUUAAAGGGGAAUCACCCACCUGGUGUCCCAGGUCUAAAUCAGUCCCUGAUUAGAGGGGGAUUCACCCACCUGGUGUCCCAGGUCUAAAUCAGUCCCUGAUUAGAGGGGAAUCACCUACCUGGUGUCCCAGGUCUAAAUCAGUCCCUGAUUAGAGGGGAAUCACCCACCUGGUGUCCCAGGUCUAAAUCAGUCCCUGAUUAGAGGGGAAUCACCCACCUGGUGUCCCAGGUCUAAAUCAGUCCCUGAUUAGAGGGGAAUCACCCACC